AAGUCUGGCAAAUAUAGUAAAAGGGAUAUUCUGGUAGGAUGUAUGCCUAUCAUUAGUUCUAAACACUGGUGAGGUUUUGAGGGAAAAUGGCCGUGAUGAUUGGAAUUGCUUUAAGAGUUUCUUGGCUUUGUUGCCUGUUAAUUGGAGGGAUAACGUGUUCUACAUCAGGUGCGUAUAUUUCAAAUAACAGAUGUGUAGUUCCAUAACCUAAGAAGACUGGCAUUUUACAGUUUAUUUGUUUUACCUAGGUGAUUGGUCUCCUGCACUGGGUUCUAAUGCAGCAUGGCUCUAUGCAGGAUCACUUAAGUCUGUAGGAUAUGGCAAUUCUAAGUCUCCAACAGCUCAAAUGCAAGCGCAACAGAAACAUCCGGCCACCAUCCUGCGGAAUGAACUGGCCCCCAUGUCCCAGCAACCUCAGCAAGUGUGGUAUCUAGCUCAGAUGGCCCAGAAUCAACCAGCCACUGAAGUUGAGAAGCGGAAGCAACAAGCUGCCAUGAACCAGCAAGUGUGGCAUCCAGCUCAAAUGCUGCAGAAGCAACUGACCGCUGUGUGGCUUCCAGCUCAAAUGCCCCUGCAGCAGAAGCAAGCGCCCGCCGUGCCCCAGCAAGUGUGGCAUCCAGCUCACAUGCUGCAGCAGAAGCAAGCGCCCGCCGUGCCCCAGCAAGUGUGGCAUCCAGCUCACAUGCUGCAGCAGAAGCAAGCGCCCGCCGUGCCCCAGCAAGUGUGGCAUCCAGCUCACAUGCUGCAGCAGAAGCAAGCGCCAGCCGUGCCCCAGCAAGUGUGGCAUCCAGCUCACAUGCUGCAGCAGAAGCAAGCGCCCGCCGUGCCCCAGCAAGUGUGGCAUCCAGCGCACAUGCUGCAGCAGAAUCAAGCGCCCGCCGUGCCCCAGAAAGUGUGGCAUCGAGCUCAAAUGCCCCUGCAGCAAAAGCAAGCGACCGCCGUGCCCCAGCAAGCGUGGCAUCCAGCUCAAAUACCCCUGCAGCAGAAGCAACCGACCGCCGUGCCCCAGCAAGCGUGGCAUCCAGCUCACAUGCCCCUGCAGCAGAAGCAACCGACCGCCUUGCCCCAGCAAGCGUGGCAUCCAGCUCAAAUACCCCUGCAGCAGAAGCAACCGACCGCCGUGCCCCAGCAAGCGUGGCAUCGAGCUCAAAUGCCCCUGCAGCAGAAGCAACCGACCGCCUUGCCCCAGCAAGCGUGGCGUCCAGCUCAAAUGCCCCUGCAGCAGAAGCAACCGACCGCCGUGCCCCAGCAAAGCGUGGCAUCGAGCUCAAAAGCCCCUGCAGCAGAAGCAACCGACCGCCAUGCCACAGCAAGCGUGGCGUCCAGCUCAAAUGCCCGCUGAAGCAACCGACCGCCGUAGCCCCGGCAAGCGUGGCAUCCAGCUCACAAGCCCCUGCAGCAGAAGCAACCGACCGCCGUGCCCCAGCAAGCGUGGCAUCCAGCUCACACUGCAGCAGAAGCAACUGACCGCCGUGCCCCAGCAAGCGUGGCAUCCAGCUCAAUGCCCCUGCAGCAGAAGCAACCGACCGCCGUGCCCCAGCAAGCGUGGCAUCCAGCUCAAAUGCCCCUGCAGCAGAAGCAACCGACCGCCGUGCCCCAGCAAGCGUGGCAUCCAGCUCAUAUGCCCCUGCAGCAGAAGCAACCGACCGCCGUGCCCCAGCAAGCGUGGCAUCCAGCUCAUAUGCCCCAACCGACCGCCGUGCCCCAGCAAGCGUGGCAUCCAGCUCAUAUGCCCCUGCAGCAGAAGCAACCGACCGCCGUGCCCCAGCAAGCGUGGCAUCCAGCUCAAAUGCCCCUGCAGCAGAAGCAACCGACCGCCGUGCCCCAGCAAGCGUGGCAUCCAGCUCAUAUGCCCCUGCAGCAGAAGCAACCGACCGCCGUGCCCCAGCAAGCGUGGCAUCCAGCUCACAUGCCCCUGCAGCAGAAGCAACCGACCGCCUUGCCCCAGCAAGCGUGGCAUCCAGCUCACAUGCCCCUGCAGCAGAAGCAACCGACCGCCGUGCCCCAGCAAGUGUGGCAUCGAGCUCAAAUGCCCCUGCAGCAACCGACCGCCAUGCCACAGCAAGCGUGGCGUUCAGCUCAAAUGCCCCUGCAGCAACCGACCGCCGUGCCCCAGCAGCAGAAGCAACCGACCGCCGUGCCCCAGCAAGCGUGGCAUCCAGCUCAAAUGCCCCUGCAGCAGAAGCAACCGACUGCCGUGCCCCAGCAAGUGUGGCAUCGAGCUCAAAUGCCCCUGCAGCAACCGACCGCCAUGCCACAGCAAGCGUGGCGUUCAGCUCAAAUGCCCCUGCAGCAACCGACCGCCGUGCCCCAGCAGCAGAAGCAACCGACCGCCGUGCCCCAGCAAGCGUGGCAUCCAGCUCAAAUGCCCCUGCAGCAGAAGCAACCGACCGCCGUGCCCCAGCAAGCGUGGCAUCCAGCUCAAAUGCCCCUGCAGCAGAAGCAACCGACCGCCGUGCCCCAGCAGCAGAAGCAACCGACCGCCGUGCCCCAGCAAGCGUGGCAUCCAGCUCAAAUGCCACUGCAGCAGAAGCAACCGACCGACGUGCCCCAGCAAGCGUGGCAUCCAGCUCAAAUGCCCCUGCAGCAGAAGCAACCGACCGCCGUGCCCCAGCAAGCGUGGCAUCCAGCUCAAAUGCCCCAGCAGCAGAAGCAACCGACCGCCGUGCCCCAGCAGCAGAAGCAACCGACCGCCGUGCCCCAGCAAGCGUGGCAUCCAGCUCAAAUGCCCCUGCAGCAGAAGCAACCGACCGCCGUGCCCCAGCAAGCGUGGCAUCCAGCUCAAAUGCCCCUGCAGCAGAAGCAACCGACCGCCGUGCCCCAGCAAGCGUGGCAUCCAGCUCAAAUGCUCCUGCAGCAGAAGCAACCGACCGCCGUGCCCCAGCAAGCGUGGCAUCCAGCUCAAAUGCCCCUGCAGCAGAAGCAACCGACCGCCGUGCCCCAGCAAGCGUGGCAUCCAGCUCAAAUGCCCCUGGAGCAGAAGCAACUGGCCCCUAUGCCCAAGAAUCGACCAGCCAUUGAACCUCAGCAGCAGAAGCAACUAUCCAACACACCCCAGCAAGCGUGGCAUCCAGCUCAAAUGCGCCUGCAGCAGGAGGAUGUGGCCGUCGAGCCCCUGCAGCAGGAGGAUGUGGCCGUCGAGCCCCUGCAGCAGGAGGAUGUGGCCGUCGAGCCCCUGCAGCAGGAGGAUGUGGCCGUCGAGCCCCUGCAGCAGGAGGAUGUGGCCGUCGAGCCCCUGCAGCAGGAGGAUCUGGCCCCUAUGCCCAAGAAUCGACCAGCCAUUGAACCUCAGCAGCAGAAGCAACUAUCCAACACACCCCAGCAAGCGUGGCAUCCAGCUCAAAUGCCCCUGCAGCAGGAGGAUGUGGCCGUCGAGCCCCUGCAGCAGGAGGAUCGACCGGCAGUCGAGCCCCUGCAGCAGGAGGAACUAUCCAACACACCCCAGGAAGCGUGGCAUCCAGCUCAAAUGCGCCUGCAGCAGGAGGAUCUGGCCGUCGAGCUCCUGCAGGAGGAUCUGGCCCCUAUGCCCAAGAAUCGACCAGCCAUUGAACCUCAGCAGCAGAAGCAACUAUCCAACACACCCCAGCAAGCGUGGCAUCCAGCUCAAAUGCCCCUGCAGCAGGAGGAUCUGGCCGUCGAGCCCCUGCAGCAGGAGGAUCUGGCCGUCGAGCCCCUGCAGCAGGAGGAUCUGGCCCCUAUGCCCAAGAAUCGACCAGCCAUUGAACCUCAGCAGCAGAAGCAACUAUCCAACACACCCCAGCAAGCGUGGCAUCCAGCUCAAAUGCUCCUGCAGCAGGAGGAACUGGCCGUCGAGCCCCAGGAAGUUAGGUAUCCAGCUCAAAUGCCCCAGCAGCAACCGAACCCCAUUCCUCAGCUAUUAUGGCAUGUAGCCCAAAUUCCCCAGCAGCAACUGGCCCCCAUCCCUCAGCAGAAGCACUACGAAAGCACAGAAGAUGGCGGCUCUAGUAGCUCUCAGUUCCAAAUCACACUACGAGAAUGGCAAAACGGUCUUCUCCCAACCCCGCUACACUCCUAGCGAGGCUAUUCCUAUUGACAAUGGUAAUGCUCCCAAUGACAGUGAUGUUGGCACAUUUGAACCAAGCACAUACCCACCACUAGUAAAGGAUCCUACAAGUUAACGUACAACUUUAAUCUGGUCUUAACUUUGCGCUGUGAAUUUGAAGUCCUUUGUACUAGCCAUGUAUCUGCCAACAGGAGAAUCUAAUGGUGGAUUCAUCCUUUAAAAGCUGAUAGUGAGACUUUUUUUGUCAAAUUGAUUAAAUAAGAUUCUGUUGCUGACACUGUUCUAACUUUCAGGUUUCAGUGAUGCUUUUGUUUUGACCAGGA
rnacentral:lncRNA from 1 species